rnacentral:rRNA from 1 species
GAUACCCUAGUAUGUUAAAAUGGGAAAUAAGGAGCUUGAGUAGUAUGAAGGAAGGAUCUAGAAAUUUAGAGAAUUUGGCGGUACUCAAUUCAAGUUAGAGGAACCUGUAUCGUAAACGAUAUGACACGAAAAAUCUUACUUUAUUUGAGGGUAGAAGUACGUAUACCGCCAUUAAAUAAGAUAUAAUUGGUUAUAAGUAAUAUCUAGAUAGUUAGAUAACUAAAAAUUUAGGUCAAGGUGCGGCUUAUGGUAAAGAGAAGUAUGGGUUACUGUAAAAUUAGUUUUGUACGGAAAAGGAUAAUUUAAAAGUUAGUUUGAAGUUGGAUUUAGUAGUAAUUUUA